GACGAACCGAGCGAACGUUGUUCGGAAUCACUGGGCUUAAAGGGCGCGUAGGCGGGUGCUCAAGUCUGUGGUGAAAUCCUCCAGCUUAACUGGAGAACUGCCAUGGAUACUGGGUGUCUCGAGGAAGAUAGGGGUAUGCGGAACGAUUGGUGGAGCGGUGAAAUGCGUUGAUAUCAAUCGGAACUCCGGUGGCGAAGGCGGCAUACUGGAUCUUAUCUGACGCUGAGGCGCGAAAGCUAGGGGAGCAAACAGG
rnacentral:rRNA from 1 species